rnacentral:rRNA from 1 species
UACGUAGGGUCCGAGCGUUGUCCGGAAUUAUUGGGCGUAAAGGGCUCGUAGGCGGUUUGUCGCGUCGGGAGUGAAAACUCAGGGCUCAACCCUGAGCGUGCUUCCGAUACGGGCAGACUAGAGGUAUUCAGGGGAGAACGGAAUUCCUGGUGUAGCGGUGGAAUGCGCAGAUAUCAGGAGGAACACCGGUGGCGAAGGCGGUUCUCUGGGAAUUACCUGACGCUGAGGAGCGAAAGCAUGGGGAGCGAACAG